rnacentral:rRNA from 1 species
GACAGAGGAUGCAAGCGUUGUCCGGAAUCAUUGGGCGUAAAGAGCGUGUAGGCGGCUCGGUAAGUCCGCUCUGAAAGCCCGGGGCUCAACCCCGGGAGGCGGGCGGAUACUGUCGGGCUAGAGUCCGGAAGAGGCGAGUGGAAUUCCUGGUGUAGCGGUGAAAUGCGCAGAUAUCAGGAGGAACACCAAUGGCGAAGGCAGCUCGCUGGGACGGUACUGACGCUGAGACGCGAAAGCGUGGGGAGCAAACAGG